rnacentral:rRNA from 1 species
UGUGAACUCGAAGAGUAGGGCGGGACACGUGGUAUCCUGUCUGAAUAUGGGGGGACCAUCCUCCAAGGCUAAAUACUCCUGACUGACCGAUAGUGAACCAGUACCGUGAGGGAAAGGCGAAAAGAACCCCGGCGAGGGGAGUGAAAAAGAACCUGAAACCGUGUACGUACAAGCAGUGGGAGCACCUUCGGGUGUGACUGCGUACCUUUUGUAUAAUGGGUCAGCGACUUAUAUUCUGUAGCAAGGUUAACCGUAUAGGGGAGCCGCAGGGAAACCGAGUCUUAACUGGGCGUUAAGUUGCAGGGUAUAGACCCGAAACCCGGUGAUCUAGCCAUGGGCAGGUUGAAGGUUGGGUAACACUAACUGGAGGACCGAACCGACUAAUGUUGAAAAAUUAGCGGAUGACUUGUGGCUGGGGGUGAAAGGCCAAUCAAACCGGGAGAUAGCUGGUUCUCCCCGAAAGCUAUUUAGGUAGCGCCUCGUGAAUUCAUCUUCGGGGGUAGAGCACUGUUUCGGCUAGGGGGUCAUCCCGACUUACCAACCCGAUGCAAACUACGAAUACCGAAGAAUGUUAUCACGGGAGACACACGGCGGGUGCUAACGUCCGUCGUGAAGAGGGAAACAACCCAGACCGCCAGCUAAGGUCCCAAAGUCAUGGUUAAGUGGGAAACGAUGUGGGAAGGCACAGACAGCCAGGAUGUUGGCUUAGAAGCAGCCAUCAUUUAAAGAAAGCGUAAUAGCUCACUGGUCGAGUCGGCCUGCGCGGAAGAUGUAACGGGGCUAAACCAUGCACCGAAGCUGCGGCAGCGACACUAUGUGUUGUUGGGUAGGGGAGCGUUCUGUAAGCCUGCGAAGGUGACCUGUGAGGGUUGCUGGAGGUAUCAGAAGUGCGAAUGCUGACAUAAGUAACGAUAAAGCGGGUGAAAAGCCCGCUCGCCGGAAGACCAAGGGUUCCUGUCCAACGUUAAUCGGGGCAGGGUGAGUCGACCCCUAAGGCGAGGCCGAAAGGCGUAGUCGAUGGGAAACAGGUUAAUAUUCCUGUACUUGGUGUUACUGCGAAGGGGGGACGGAGAAGGCUAUGUUAGCCGGGCGACGGUUGUCCCGGUUUAAGCAUGUAGGCUGGUUGUCCAGGCAAAUCCGGAUAAUCAAGGCUGAGGUGUGAUGACGAGGCACUACGGUGCUGAAGUAACAAAUGCCCUGCUUCCAGGAAAAGCCUCUAAGCAUCAGGUAACAUUAAAUCGUACCCCAAACCGACACAGGUGGUCAGGUAGAGAAUACCAAGGCGCUUGAGAGAACUCGGGUGAAGGAACUAGGCAAAAUGGUGCCGUAACUUCGGGAGAAGGCACGCUGGUGUGUAGGUGAAGUCCCUGCGGAUGGAGCUGAGACCAGUCGAAGAUACCAGCUGGCUGCAACUGUUUAUUAAAAACACAGCACUGUGCAAACACGAAAGUGGACGUAUACGGUGUGACGCCUGCCCGGUGCCGGAAGGUUAAUUGAUGGGGUUAUCCGUAAGGAGAAGCUCUUGAUCGAAGCCCCGGUAAACGGCGGCCGUAACUAUAACGGUCCUAAGGUAGCGAAAUUCCUUGUCGGGUAAGUUCCGACCUGCACGAAUGGCGUAAUGAUGGCCAGGCUGUCUCCACCCGAGACUCAGUGAAAUUGAACUCGCUGUGAAGAUGCAGUGUACCCGCGGCAAGACGGAAAGACCCCGUGAACCUUUACUAUAGCUUGACACUGAACAUUGAGCCUUGAUGUGUAGGAUAGGUGGGAGGCUUUGAAGCGUGGACGCCAGUCUGCGUGGAGCCAACCUUGAAAUACCACCCUUUAAUGUUUGAUGUUCUAACGUUGGCCCCUUACCGGGGUUGCGGACAGUGUCUGGUGGGUAGUUUGACUGGGGCGGUCUCCUCCCAAAGCGUAACGGAGGAGCACGAAGGUUAGCUAAUCCUGGUCGGACAUCAGGAGGUUAGUGCAAUGGCAUAAGCUAGCUUGACUGCGAGCGUGACGGCGCGAGCAGGUGCGAAAGCAGGUCAUAGUGAUCCGGUGGUUCUGAAUGGAAGGGCCAUCGCUCAACGGAUAAAAGGUACUCCGGGGAUAACAGGCUGAUACCGCCCAAGAGUUCAUAUCGACGGCGGUGUUUGGCACCUCGAUGUCGGCUCAUCACAUCCUGGGGCUGAAGUAGGUCCCAAGGGUAUGGCUGUUCGCCAUUUAAAGUGGUACGCGAGCUGGGUUUAGAACGUCGUGAGACAGUUCGGUCCCUAUCUGCCGUGGGCGCUGGAGAAUUGAGGGGGGCUGCUCCUAGUACGAGAGGACCGGAGUGGACGCAUCACUGGUGUUCGGGUUGUCAUGCCAAUGGCACUGCCCGGUAGCUAAAUGCGGAAGAGAUAAGUGCUGAAAGCAUCUAAGCACGAAACUUGCCCCGAGAUGAGUUCUCCCUGAGACUUUAAGUCUCCUGAAGGAACGUUAAAGACGAUGACGUUGAUAGGCCGGGUGUGUAAGCGCAGCGAUGCGUUGAGCUAACCGGUACUAAUGAACCGUGAGGCUUAACCUUACAACGCCGAAG